rnacentral:rRNA from 1 species
CCUGUCCAACGUUAAUCGGGGCAGGGUGAGUCGACCCCUAAGGCGAGGCCGAAAGGCGUAGUCGAUGGGAAACAGGUUAAUAUUCCUGUACUUGAUGUUACUGCGAAGGGGGGACGGAGAAGGCUAUGUUGGCCGGGCGACGGUUGUCCCGGUUUAAGCGUGUAGGCUGGUUUUCCAGGCAAAUCCGGAAAAUCAAGGCUGAGGCGUGAUGACGAGGCACUACGGUGCUGAAGCAACAAAUGCCCUGCUUCCAGGAAAAGCCUCUAAGCAUCAGGUAACAUCAAAUCGUACCCCAAACCGACACAGGUGGUCAGGUAGAGAAUACCAAGGCGCUUGAGAGAACUCGGGUGAAGGAACUAGGCAAAAUGGUGCCGUAACUUCGGGAGAAGGCACGCUGAUAUGUAGGUGAAGUCCCUCGCGGAUGGAGCUGAAAUCAGUCGAAGAUACCAGCUGGCUGCAACUGUUUAUUAAAAACACAGCACUGUGCAAACACGAAAGUGGACGUAUACGGUGUGACGCCUGCCCGGUGCCGGAAGGUUAAUUGAUGGGGUCAGCGCAAGCGAAGCUCUUGAUCGAAGCCCCGGUAAACGGCGGCCGUAACUAUAACGGUCCUAAGGUAGCGAAAUUCCUUGUCGGGUAAGUUCCGACCUGCACGAAUGGCGUAAUGAUGGCCAGGCUGUCUCCACCCGAGACUCAGUGAAAUUGAACUCGCUGUGAAGAUGCAGUGUACCCGCGGCAAGACGGAAAGACCCCGUGAACCUUUACUAUAGCUUGACACUGAACAUUGAGCCUUGAUGUGUAGGAUAGGUGGGAGGCUUUGAAGUGUGGACGCCAGUCUGCAUGGAGCCGACCUUGAAAUACCACCCUUUAAUGUUUGAUGUUCUAACGUUGACCCGUAAUCCGGGUUGCGGACAGUGUCUGGUGGGUAGUUUGACUGGGGCGGUCUCCUCCUAAAGAGUAACGGAGGAGCACGAAGGUUGGCUAAUCCUGGUCGGACAUCAGGAGGUUAGUGCAAUGGCAUAAGCCAGCUUGACUGCGAGCGUGACGGCGCGAGCAGGUGCGAAAGCAGGUCAUAGUGAUCCGGUGGUUCUGAAUGGAAGGGCCAUCGCUCAACGGAUAAAAGGUACUCCGGGGAUAACAGGCUGAUACCGCCCAAGAGUUCAUAUCGACGGCGGUGUUUGGCACCUCGAUGUCGGCUCAUCACAUCCUGGGGCUGAAGUAGGUCCCAAGGGUAUGGCUGUUCGCCAUUUAAAGUGGUACGCGAGCUGGGUUUAGAACGUCGUGAGACAGUUCGGUCCCUAUCUGCCGUGGGCGCUGGAGAACUGAGGGGGGCUGCUCCUAGUACGAGAGGACCGGAGUGGACGCAUCACUGGUGUUCGGGUUGUCAUGCCAAUGGCACUGCCCGGUAGCUAAAUGCGGAAGAGAUAAGUGCUGAAAGCAUCUAAGCACGAAACUUGCCCCGAGAUGAGUUCUCCCUGACUCCUUGAGAGUCCUGAAGGAACGUUGAAGACGACGACGUUGAUAGGCCGGGUGUGUAAGCGCAGCGAUGCGUUGAGCUAACCGGUACUAAUGAACCGUGAGGCUUAACCU